AUUGAACGCUGGCGGCAUGCCUUACACAUGCAAGUCGAACGGCAGCACGGGAGCAAUCCUGGUGGCGAGUGGCGAACGGGUGAGUAAUAUAUCGGAACGUGCCCAGUCGUGGGGGAUAACGUAGCGAAAGCUACGCUAAUACCGCAUACGAUCUACGGAUGAAAGCGGGGGAUCGCAAGACCUCGCGCGAUUGGAGCGGCCGAUAUCAGAUUAGGUAGUUGGUGAGGUAAAGGCUCACCAAGCCGACGAUCUGUAGCUGGUCUGAGAGGACGACCAGCCACACUGGGACUGAGACACGGCCCAGACUCCUACGGGAGGCAGCAGUGGGAAUUUUGGACAAUGGGCGCAAGCCUGAUCCAGCAAUGCCGCGUGCAGGAUGAAGGCCUUCGGGUUGUAAACUGCUUUUGUACGGAACGAAACGGUGAGCUCUAAUACAGUUUGCUAAUGACGGUACCGUAAGAAUAAGCACCGGCUAACUACGUG
rnacentral:rRNA from 1 species